ensembl:lncRNA
CUCGCUGGAGCAGCGCUCCACGGGGGGGUACAGGGUGCUGGGGGGCGGGGCCACCGGCGGCCCCGCCCCCGUGCUCUUGGUGAAGAUGCCGCUGAUGAACUUGAGCAUCUUCCUGUCCCGGGCCGGCGCCCGUGGUCCCCCCCGGCGGGGGUCCUCGCCCAGGCCGCUCAGGUCGCUGUAGUCCAGCGUGCGGCUCUUGCCCUUCCUCUGAGGGGGGGGUCCGGGCGCGGCUGGGGGCGGAGGAGGGGCGGGGAGGGGCAGGACCCCGGACACGGGCUGGAACCGGGGGUCUCCGGCGGAGGGGGGAUCCCUGGGCCCGACCAGGCCCGGGUACCCCGCGCCCGCCGGGUACCCGGGCCGGAUCAGGGUGGCCUUGGUGUCGCUGUCGGCCCAGGAGGCGCGGUACGGCCCCAGCGUGGCGGUGGUCGCCCGCGGCGACGGCUCCCCCGUAGCGGUGCUCCCGGCGGUCCAGGGUCUUGACGGAGGCCAGCAGCCUCUGCCGCGCCUCCCUCUUCUCCCACCAGGACAGGGGCUCGGCCGGGGGGGGCGCGUGGGACCGCAUCAGCACCUCGGGGGGCCGCUGGCCGACCUGCGGCGACAGCGCCGCCGGCGAGACGCUGCAGCGCUGCAGGGACUGGCUGCUGCUCAGGUCGCCCCCGUCCUCGCGCUUCAGGAACAGCCUGGGGGGGUCCCGGUAGAACUCGGUCCGGGGGCGGGCCCCCUCCCGGCCGCGGACCCCGCCCUCGGGGAAGAAGCCCCUCUCGAGGGCCCUCAUGGAGUCGGUGAGCGGCGGGGGAGGCGGGGCCCGGAAGCAGGCCUCCCUGAGCUGGAGGCUCCCCGGGGGUCUCGCCAGGGGGGGCCCGGACCACGGGGUCCGGAGGCAGACCUCCGUUGUUGGUCGGCACCUCCUCCUCCUCCUCCUCCUCCUCUUCCUCCUCUACCUCCUCCUCCUCCUCUUCAUCGUCGUCCUCCUCCUCCUCCUCCUCCUCCUCACUUUUCUCUGCAUCUUCCUCUUCGGGGGCGGUCCUGCACGGCACCUCCUCAGGGUCCAGCUCCGGACCUGGGGGGUCUGCUCCCGGGUGGGGGGUCUCCAGGCCCAAGUCCAGGUCCUGGUCCAGGUCCUGGUCCUCUUCCUGCUCCCCGUCUGGCAGAGCCUCGAGCUUGACCAGCGUCAGGGAGAUCAGGUAGGUGUUGCGUUUGGGGGGGUUACUGGAGCUGCUCAUCGUGGCCAGAAGACGGGAAGCACGCAGGAACGAAGCGAUCACCCGCGGCAACGGAGCAUAGCUAUGGCCGGCAGCGACCGGGCUGUAGCAGGGAGGAGAUAGAGAACAGGGUUCUGCUCGCUGUUACACUGGCGGUGCUGACGGUGCUACUACGGUGUGAGGACGGCCGCUACAGGGUCAGUGGCCAUUAACACCUUCUGGGAGCGGUAGCGCCACUACUAUAGUCUGC